UGAGGAAUAUUGGUCAAUGGGCGCAAGCCUGAACCAGCCAUCCCGCGUGCAGGAAGACGGCCCUAUGGGUUGUAAACUGCUUUUCCAGGGGGAGAAUUUUUCUGUCGUGACAGGAAUUGACGGUACCCUGGGAAUAAGCAUCGGCUAACUCCGUGCCAGCAGCCGCGGUAAUACGGAGGAUGCGAGCGUUAUCCGGAUUUAUUGGGUUUAAAGGGUGCGUAGGCGGAUUGGUAAGUCAGUGGUGAAAACCUGCAGCUUAACUGUAGACUUGCCGUUGAUACUGUCAGUCUUGAGUAUGGUCGAGGUAGGCGGAAUGUGUAAUGUAGCGGUGAAAUGCUUAGAUAUUACACAGAACACCGAUUGCGAAGGCAGCUUACUGGGCCAUUACUGACGCUGAUGCACGAAAGCGUGGGGAUCGAACAG
rnacentral:rRNA from 1 species